rnacentral:misc_RNA from 1 species
GUUGUGUGAACACAACGCAGAGAUAAUUCUAACUGAUUGCAAUACUACACGUCUACAAAUCAUCUAUGACAAUCCUAUUCCGUGUAUUAUUGCAUAUGGUGUGCUAACAUUGUUUUAGUGUAUUUUCGUCGCUGUAUUGUCAUGUUUUGUUUAAUGUUUUUUACGACUUCAUACAUAUCGUAUGAAAAUUGACUUUUGUUUUAUAUUUAACAAAUCAUUGUACAUGUACACAGAUUCAUUGUAUUCGAAUCAUUUCUCAUCAGGGAAGUUCCAUGUUACCGGAAUCUUAACGUAUAUGCUCUUUGUGCAUUAACUGUAAGAAAUUUAAAAUGAAUAGUCUUUUACACGGCAUACAUGUGAUAUGAUUUAUGAACAGGGUAAUGAUCAAUGGAAACGCCAUGUAAAGAAAAAAGUGAAUAUGCAUCACCAAGUCUAUACGUGUAUACCCGCCAUCUUCGUUGUUUGAACUACUCUCUUUUCAUUUUCUGUGCAAAUAAUAACAUUAUAAUAAACAUUGUCUGUGUUGGAUUUUAAAGGGAAUACUAAAAGAUGAGUUUCUU